AUUGAACGCUGGCGGCAGGCCUAACACAUGCAAGUCGAACGAGUGGCGGACGGGUGAGUAAUGUCUGGGAAAUUGCCUGAUGGAGGGGGUUAACUACUGGAAACGGUAGCUAACACCGCCUACCAUCAGAGGUGCCCAGAUGGGAUUAGCUAGUUGGUGGGGUAACGGGUCACCAAGGCGACGAUCCCUAGCUGGUCUGAGAGGAUGACCAGCCACACUGGAACUUAGACACGGUCAAGACUCCGACGCGAGGCAGCAGGGGAGAAUAGUGCACAAUUGGCGCAAGCCUGAUGCAGCCAUGCCGCGUGUAUGAAGAAGGCCUUCGGGUUGUAAAGUACUUACAGCGGGGAGGCGUUACCCGCAGAAGAAGCACCGGCUAACUCCGUGCCAGCAGCCGCGGUAAUAC
rnacentral:rRNA from 1 species